CACAUUUCAUUCCAAGAGACUACUUCCACUCUGCUGGCUUGGACCUUGAUUUUACUGAGCAAGCAUCCAGAUUGGCAGAGCAGAGCAAAAGAGGAGGCUUUGCGAGUUUUGGGGGAAGAUAAACCAAAUUUCGAUGAAAUAAAUCAACUCAAAAUCAUGAAUAUGAUACUGCACGAGGUUUUGAGGCUCUAUCCGUCGGUGGUUACCGUUAGUCGGCAAGUGAGCAAGCAGAGUUGGGGAAAUAUUUGUUGCCGGCCGGAGAUCGCGUCACUUUGCCGACAAUGCUGCUCCACCACGAUCGCGGAGUUUGGGGGGAAGAUGUGAUGGAUUUCAAUCCGGAGAGGUUCAGUGAAGGAGUUUCCAAGGCGCAGGGGAGGCAAGGCGCAGAGAUUGAACUGGGCUGGGUUGAGAUAUUUAUCUGUGAAUUGAAGACCUACGGAAGAUAGCACAUCUGUUUGAUUUGUUUUCGAUUAAAUUUAUUUGAGGUUUUUCUAUGGUACUGAUAUAGAUUUUGUUCGAGGACAAGCAAAUGUUUAAGUGUGAA